GAUCAUGGCUCAGGACGAACGCUGGCGGCGCGCCUAACACAUGCAAGUCGAACGGGGUUAUAUAAGAAGCUUGCUUUGAAUAUAACCAAGUGGCGGACGGGUGAGUAACGCGUGAGGACCUGUCUCCGGCAGGGGGACAACAUUUGGAAACGGAUGCUAAUACCGCAUAAGCCGAGAGGUGAAAGGAGCAAUCCGGCAGGAGAGGGACUCGCGUUCUAUCAGCUAGUAGGCGGGGUAAAGGCCCACCUAGG
rnacentral:rRNA from 1 species